rnacentral:rRNA from 1 species
GACGAACGCUGGCGGCGUGCCUAAUACAUGCAAGUAGAACGCUGAAGGAGGAGCUUGCUUCUCUGGAUGAGUUGCGAACGGGUGAGUAACGCGUAGGUAACCUGCCUGGUAGCGGGGGAUAACUAUUGGAAACGAUAGCUAAUACCGCAUAAGAGUAGAUGUUGCAUGACAUUUGCUUAAAAGGUGCAAUUGCAUCACUACCAGAUGGACCUGCGUUGUAUUAGCUAGUUGGUGAGGUAACGGCUCACCAAGGCAACGAUACAUAGCCGACCUGAGAGGGUGAUCGGCCACACUGGGACUGAGACACGGCCCAGACUCCUACGGGAGGCAGCAGUAGGGAAUCUUCGGUAAUGGACGGAAGUCUGACCGAGCAACGCCGCGUGAGUGAAGAAGGUUUUCGGAUCGUAAAGCUCUGUUGUAAGAGAAGAACGAGUGUGAGAGUGGAAAGUUCACACUGUGACGGUAUCUUACCAGAAAGGGACGGCUAACUACGUG